rnacentral:rRNA from 12 species
GUGUAGCGGUGAAAUGCGUAGAUAUUAGAAAGAACACCGGCGGCGAAAGCGCUCUACUGGACCAUUACUGACACUCAGAGGCGAAAGCUAGGGGAGCAAAAGGGAUUAGAUACCCCUGUAGUCCUAGCCGUAAACGAUGGAUACUAGAUGUUGCGCAAUUUGUGCAGUAUCUUAGCUAACGCGUUAAGUAUCCCGCCUGGGGAGUACGCUCGCAAGGGUGAAACUCAAAGGAAUUGACGGGGGCCCGCACAAGCGGUGGAGCAUGUGGUUUAAUUCGAUGCAACGCGAAGAACCUUACCAGGUCUUGACAUCCUCGGAACUUGGCAGAGAUGCCUUGGUGCCUUCGGGAGCCGAGUGACAGGUGCUGCAUGGCCGUCGUCAGCUCGUGUCGUGAGAUGUUGGGUUAAGUCCCGUAACGAGCGCAACCCUUGUCCUUAGUUGCCAGCACGUCAUGGUGGGAACUCUAGGGAGACUGCCGGUGACAAACCGGAGGAAGGUGAGGAUGACGUCAAGUCAGCAUGCCCCUUAUGCCCUGGGCCACACACGUGCUACAAUGGCGAAGACAAAGAGUCGCAAACCUGCGAAGGCUAGCUAAUCUCGUAAACUUCGUCUAAGUUCGGAUUGUAGGCUGCAACUCGCCUGCAUGAAGUUGGAAUCGCUAGUAAUCGCUGGUCAGCUAUACAGCGGUGAAUUCGUUCCCGGGCCUUGUACACACCGCCCGUCACACCAUGGGAGCUGGUCAUACCCAAUAUCGUUAGCCUAACCAUUCGGAGGGCGGCGCUUAAGGUAGGGCUAGUGACUGGGGUGAAGUCGUAACAAGGUAGCCGUACUGGAAGGUGCGGCUGGAUCACCUCCUU